GAGAAAACCAACCCCUUUUGUACAAUCUCUCCCCCACACACACAAUACAUGGACUAACUUGCUGCAUAAUUAACCAAUGAGUCUGGAUUUCUUUAACACUGUCUGUAAUUUUCCUAUUUGUGGCUACUCUUACUGAUAACACCAACAACAAUGCCAAACAUUUAUUCCAGAAGUCUUACUUACUAAACCUUUGAGGACCCUAAGUUUUUUGUAAUCAUAAGAUUUUUUUAUUUUUUUAUUUUUAUUUUUUGUAAAAGGGUUGGCAGCUUUGAAAAGUGGUGUUGCAUUGAAACUCAUCAACUCAUCAACUCAUUAUCAGACUAGCCUGGGGGGCCUAGCCAUCAUCAGUUUCAUGUGUUACCAUCCAUCCAUUGAUUUCAGCCUCUAUAUCUUUCUUCCCACAGUAUACUUGGUUGAUUCUCUUUGCAACUCCAAGCUGCAAGCUCUGACACCACACCUCCACUUCAUGCUCUAUCAUUCCCCCUUUCCUUUCCUUUCAUUUCCCUUCUCUUGCUGUGAGUUAACACCACCCUGCCCAC
rnacentral:lncRNA from 1 species